UACGUAGGCAGCAAGCGUUGUUCGGAGUUACUGGGCGUAAAGGGUGUGUAGGCGGUUGUUUAAGUUUGGUGUGAAAUCUCCCGGCUCAACUGGGAGGGUGCGCCGAAUACUGAAUGACUAGAGUGCGGGAGAGGAAAGUGGAAUUCCUGGUGUAGCGGUGAAAUGCGUAGAUAUCAGGAGGAACACCGGUGGUGUAGACGGCUUUCUGGACCGUAACUGACGCUGAGAGACGAAAGCGUGGGUAGCAAACAGG
rnacentral:rRNA from 1 species